GGGUGCGGGGCUAUAAUGCAGUCGAGCGAACAGAUGAGAAGCUUGCUUCUCUGAUGUUAGCGGCGGACGGGUGAGUAACACGUGGGUAACCUACCUAUAAGACUGGGAUAACUCCGGGAAACCGGGGCUAAUACCGGAUAAUAUUUUGAACCGCAUGGUUCAAUAGUGAAAGACGGUUUCGGCUGUCACUUAUAGAUGGACCCGCGCCGUAUUAGCUAGUUGGUAAGGUAAUGGCUUACCAAGGCGACGAUACGUAGCCGACCUGAGAGGGUGAUCGGCCACACUGGAACUGAGACACGGUCCAGACUCCUACGGGAGGCAGCAGUAGGGAAUCUUCCGCAAUGGGCGAAAGCCUGACGGAGCAACGCCGCGUGAGUGAUGAAGGUCUUCGGAUCGUAAAACUCUGUUGUUAGGGAAGAACAAAUUUGUUAGUAACUGAACAAGUCUUGACGGUACCUAACCAGAAAGCCACGGCUAACUACGUGCCAGCAGCCGCGGUAAUACGUAGGUGGCAAGCGUUAUCCGGAAUUAUUGGGCGUAAAGCGCGCGUAGGCGGUUUCUUAAGUCUGAUGUGAAAGCCCACGGCUCAACCGUGGAGGGUCAUUGGAAACUGGGAAACUUGAGUGCAGAAGAGGAGAGUGGAAUUCCAUGUGUAGCGGUGAAAUGCGCAGAGAUAUGGAGGAACACCAGUGGCGAAGGCGGCUCUCUGGUCUGUAACUGACGCUGAUGUGCGAAAGCGUGGGGAUCAAACAGGAUUAGAUACCCUGGUAGUCCACGCCGUAAACGAUGAGUGCUAAGUGUUAGGGGGUUUCCGCCCCUUAGUGCUGCAGCUAACGCAUUAAGCACUCCGCCUGGGGAGUACGACCGCAAGGUUGAAACUCAAAGGAAUUGACGGGGACCCGCACAAGCGGUGGAGCAUGUGGUUUAAUUCGAAGCAACGCGAAGAACCUUACCAAAUCUUGACAUCCUUUGACCGCUCUAGAGAUAGAGUCUUCCCCUUCGGGGGACAAAGUGACAGGUGGUGCAUGGUUGUCGUCAGCUCGUGUCGUGAGAUGUUGGGUUAAGUCCCGCAACGAGCGCAACCCUUAAGCUUAGUUGCCAUCAUUAAGUUGGGCACUCUAGGUUGACUGCCGGUGACAAACCGGAGGAAGGUGGGGAUGACGUCAAAUCAUCAUGCCCCUUAUGAUUUGGGCUACACACGUGCUACAAUGGAUAAUACAAAGGGCAGCGAAUCCGCGAGGCCAAGCAAAUCCCAUAAAAUUAUUCUCAGUUCGGAUUGUAGUCUGCAACUCGACUACAUGAAGCUGGAAUCGCUAGUAAUCGUAGAUCAGCAUGCUACGGUGAAUACGUUCCCGGGUCUUGUACACACCGCCCGUCACACCACGAGAGUUUGUAACACCCGAAGCCGGUGGAGUAACCUUUUAGGAGCUAGCCGUCGAAGGG
rnacentral:rRNA from 1 species